rnacentral:rRNA from 1 species
GGCUGCAGCCAUACCACCGUAAAUGUGCCUGGUCUUAUGUGAUCCCAGAAACUAAACAGAGUUAAGCCUAGUUAAUACUUGGAUAUGAUUCUACUUGUACCAGGUGCUACAAGUU